GACGAACGCUAGCGGCGUGCUUAACACAUGCAAGUCGAACGGAAAGGCCCUGCUUUUGUGGGGUGCUCGAGUGGCGAACGGGUGAGUAACACGUGAGUAACCUGCCCUUGACUUUGGGAUAACUUCAGGAAACUGGGGCUAAUACCGGAUAGGAGCUCCUGCUGCAUGGUGGGGGUUGGAAAGUUACGGCGGUUGGGGAUGGACUCGCGGCUUAUCAGCUUGUUGGUGGGGUAGUGGCUUACCAAGGCUUUGACGGGUAGCCGGCCUGAGAGGGUGACCGGCCACAUUGGGACUGAGAUACGGCCCAGACUCCUACGGGAGGCAGCAGUGGGGAAUAUUGCACAAUGGGCGGAAGCCUGAUGCAGCAACGCCGCGUGCGGGAUGACGGCCUUCGGGUUGUAAACCGCUUUCGCCUGUGACGAAGCGUGAGUGACGGUAAUGGGUAAAGAAGCACCGGCUAACUACGUG
rnacentral:rRNA from 1 species